GAAGGAAAAACAUCUCCAGUGCAUGUUUGCAGAAGGGUUGUAUCACGAAGAAAAAUCUGAGGGUCUUCCAACAUGGUUAUUGAUUAGAAACCCCUUAUUUCAUCAGGAGCUUAUGCACUUGGAAAACUUCUCCAGCAUUGGAAAUGAGCCAUCGUGGACAGUAGCAGGGGAUUCUUCUGGAAGCCCUCCAGGCAUGGGCACAGGGUCCCAGCUGGCAGAGGUGUGCUCCAGAUGCUCUCCAUCCCCUGGUGGAGAUGUAAUGGUCCAAAUCAAAGGCUG
rnacentral:lncRNA from 1 species